GAAAAUUCUAGCCAAGCACAAUAUAUAUUUUAUAGAGUGGAAUCAUUUGGGAAAGAAAACAAAGAAUUCACAGAAUUCAAAUAAUAAAAAAACUCCACAAAAGCAAGUAGCCAGAUGCCAGAUGCCAGAAUCUCAAAAGAACAUCUAACAAUAAAGAACCCAAAUAAGAAACAAACAAAUGAACUGAAAAAGCACCCGAUCCAAAUUGCCUCGGCUCACAGACGCCAUAAAAGCUUCCCCUUUUUAAGCUUCGUUGAACAAAAUAGCAAAAUCUCUUAAAACUCACUAAGCUAAGUGUUUUUGUUUUCAGACACAAAACUAAAGUAACUGACUUGCCCAAUACAAAGAAAACUUUACGACAGAAUCUAAAAAGAAUUUUAAACCGUGCUGAUAUUCUCAACACACUGAGCAAAAAAUAGUUUACCAUGAAACAGAACUAAAUCUUCACAAACUCAUAAUCCCACACAAACCAAAUUUGAAAUUAAUGUAAUGAAUUGAAGCAAACUACCUUCAGAAUUUGAUUAAGGCAGCUGUCAGAGACGAGACAACGGCAGUUGAGGAGAGAACCCCACGGCGGAAGCCGCAAUUCAAUUUUCUAAGAGAGCCGAGAGAGUGAGGCGCCGUGAGGGAGCGUGACGCAGCCGACCGCCCCCGGGGAGGGGGGGCGCUUACAGUGAGGAGGAAGCGUGGUGAGAUUUGUUGGCGUGAGGGAGAACGCGCGUGGGUUUGGAAUGGCGCGUUUGUGUUGCGAUAUUUCCGCUACAGUUAGAAUUUAUACUGAGCACAAAACGCACCGUUCUGUGCUCAGUGUGGUUCUCACUGUGGUGAGAAUCUCAUUUUCCUAAUAUUUUAUUAAGAAACGAAGCGCAAAAACUUAGUGCUGAAGUUGUCUGACUGUGCUAAUAAUCACUUAUUUGCUCCAUUUUCUAUCAACGUGGCAAAUGUUUCAUCCGGUAAAGGAGAAAAAUUUAUAAAUUAAUUACGCAUAAUUUUUUAUUUAAUUAAAGGAGGUUGAGUUUAUAAAAAUUCAAAUCACUAUCUUCAUAAUCAUGUUUAUCUUUGAGAGUAAUAAUUUAUUAUUGAACCAAAGCCUAAGCGCUUUUUUUUAAACUAUUAAGACUCAAAAUAGUGGUUUGUUAUUUUUAUUUUCUUUUGUAAUCUUGUUGUUACCAUACACAUAAAUUAAAAAGUCUUUUCAGUGAUCAAUUUUUAAAUUUCAAUUAUUGACUUAAAUCACACAUGUUUUAAAUUAUAAUUUGAAGACAAUCUUAAACAGAAAAAUAUUUAGCCACUAAGAAACAGGAAAAAUAAAAUAAAAUAAUUCUAAAUUUAUGUAAUUUAUUUUGGUUAGAUGGGAAUGACACAUGUAAAAUAAAUAAAAAAAAAAUUCUCAUCUGUCAUUGUUUGUAAUUUUAUUUGAAGUGGGGCUUUAUAAGGUAAAAUAACGGGUGCUAAUAGGCAAUAGCUUCACUCUUCUUCAGACCCAGCGGAAGAAAAAGAAUCAGGCCCAUUUUCAAUUUAUGGGUCCUUAACUAUCCAGAUCCAGGGCCAUCUUGUUUUUUAUUUCUGAAGUUAGGCCCCGUUUUUUAAUAACAAGGAUGAUUGAUUCUAGUCGAAAUUGCUUGAUCUGCACAUUCUGUGUCUAUAAAUGCAACAUUUGUCCUUUAUUUUUUAUUUCUUAUUCAUUUUUUUUAUCAUCAUUUGAGGCAAAGUUGAUCGUUGCAACUAACUGCUUCUACUCCAAGCCAAAUUCUGACUUUCAAAGUAAUAUAAUUACCUUCUACAGAAUAAAUAGUCUUGCUUUAAUCUCGUCUUUGAGAAUCACUAAUGUUUAUCAGUUUACUGUUCUGAGAAAUGAUUGGGAUUAAAAGAAGCUUCAUCACAAAGUGGGGCUAAGUUUCUUCUUCUUUGGCUCCACCAACCAAAAAAAAAAAAAAAAAAAAUUGCCCAAACUGCUUGCACAAGGAAACAUGUUUAAUGUUUCAGUAGUCACUUUUAUUACAAUUGGUUUGGUGAUUUGCUCACAUAAUUAUAAGUACGUAAUCAAUUGUUCUUUAUACUGUAUCUUUUAUGAUUAUUUAUUAGUUGGCAUAGAGACAAUAGAUUGAUGUUCUCAAUAAAAUGAGAUCUCUCUUUAGCGAAAGUAAUGGUGGGAAUCAAAGUAGUAAAGCCCUAACAUAAUGUCAUAUUGAUGAACAUCUUCGGCCUAGGCAAUUGAAUCCGAAAAAAGAAAAGCUCGUCCAUAGAAAGAUUCUACCACUAGACGCUUAUUCAUCGCAGAUAACUUGUAGCUAAUUUGUUGCCCCAUUCCAAAUUCUCUGUAAAGCAAAAUGCAUGUCCCAAAGAACUUUAGCUUUGACUAAGUACUUAAUAAUUACUAGCGGCACUAGGAAAUUGCUCGACCUUCACUUUCACUAGGGUUUGAUUUGAAAAGCUGUUAGCUAUAUAUGAAACAGAAUGAUUAACAUUUGUCUGAUGUUUGUGUAUGAAUAUGAUUGAUUGGCAUGCAUUUGUAUAUUAUAAAUUUAACUAAUAAAGUCAAAUGUGGUCGGUCGAGAUAAUCUUGCGUAUCCCUUUUAACGGAUGACCCAUGAUCAUCAUGUGAUCACCCGUGUAUCUUUUCUUCAACCUAGCUAAUUUGUUGCUUCUUUACUUUAAAUCCUCCACUAAACUUCUAGACAUAUUCAUGUAAAUGGAAGUCUCAAAACCUUUCUGAUACUAGUGUAUGGAAUUUAUACGUUACAAGUGAGGAGAUUUGUUAGGUAAACAUCGAUCUAGUAUCUCUCUCAUUUUGUAGUUUUGCGAAAGUUCAUCUCUGGUGUGCAGAUGUAUAAAUGUAUAUUUUUAAAAACGAACUUAUAAUUUUUAAUAGUAACUAACACAGAGCAAUAAUUAAAAUUGCACUUGAUAAAUUUGAAUUUUAGAAAUUGGGAGAUUCUUUUAGAAAUCCACUAGCCUAACUCAAAUUAAAAGAUAAGGUCUAGAAUUGAAUGUUACCUAAGCUUAUAUAUUUAACCCGAGAUUCAUUCUCAAUAUAUGUAGGACAUUGUCUUUAACAUUCAUGUCAUGUGGAAGUUAGUCGUUUUGCUCAGUCCUUAUCAAGUGAUAAGGUAGUAUGAGCCGAUCACCUGUGCAUAAAUCUGGCUCUAAUACCAUAUAAAACCUCAUGUAUCUAACUCAUACUUAAAAUCCAACUGUAGAGUUGAGAGUUACCUAAAACUUAUGUAUUUAACCCAAAGUCCAUUCAAAAUUGACAUGGGACAUUGUCCUUAACAGUUCCAAAUUAUAUAUAUAUAUAUAUAUAUAAUCUUUAAAAUUAUUUUUAACAUUCUUAUCAUGGCAAGUUGAUAUUUUUAUUUGGUCUUUGUCAUGUGAUAAUUUAGUAUGGGUCGGUCACUUGUGCAUGAAUCUAACUCUGAUAUUAUAUAAAAACCCAUUGAUCUAACUCCUACUCAAAAGUUAAUUUUUAAAUUGAGGAUUGUCCAAAACUUAUAUAUUUAACCCAAUGUCCAUUUUCAUUCUAUAUAAGAUGUUGUCCUUAACAUUUCCAAAUUUAUAUAUAUAAUCUUUUAAAGUUUUUUGAAUUUGGGUUGCUAUGUUUCGAGAUUCCUUCAAACCCACAUUCAUUCUUACAAUUCACUCCUAUUCGUAACAUACUUUGCUUCACAUCUUGUUUUCGAUUGCAAAUGCACAUGCACACGUCAUGGUUUUAGAGUUUUGGAACAUGAAUCAAGAAUCAUGAUAAUAUUGCAAGAAAGAAAUACAAAUAUUUCUAACAUUAUUAAAACUUGGACUGAUCAAAUACAUAUGACUCGUACCCAGAUGUCGUUUGCCAAUUUUCUCAGCAUUUUUCAGUGGUCCAUGCACAUGGUGAAGAAGUAAGAAUUUAUGUUUGCAUUGAAUUUCUAAAUUUGAAAAACGUUCAACAAUGUUGUCCUUAUCAUGUAAAUUCAUUUGUAGUAGACUCUGUAACCACUCAAUUAAUGCAUCCGUCUCACUAUCAAAAUAUUUAGUAUCCAUCAACUUGUUGAGGGUAGACCCACUUCCUUGCCAAAUAUUUGAACCUUCAAUAUUAAUAUGAUAUGUACCUUAAAUACUUUUUUCUCUCUUUUAUUUUAAUUGCGAUUAUGAUUGGUUUGUUUUAUAAUAAAUAGAUACGCAAUAAAAUGUCAUUGAACAUUAAUUAUCUUAAAUUUUGUGUUUUUUCAUUCAAUUAAUUUUUUUCAUGUCAUAUUAGUUUAUACCAUUAUGUAUAUUUCUAAUUACUCUUCUCAUAAAUAACGUUGGAGACAAAUUUUCAAACAUGAGUUUAUUAGCAAGGGUUCAAUAAAAACUUCCCAGAGCUUAGGGUCAAGAUCAUCUUCAAUUGGCCAAUACAUUUUGGUAAUUCCCAUGAAAACACAUACUACUUGGGUUUUGAAAUACUUCAUUUAAUAUAACGUCAAAGUUUUAUUGGGUCAAGAAACCUUCACGUACAAUGAAAUUUCAUAGAACCCGUAACCCUACCAUUAUUUUAAAGUACGAUCAGCUUAGCCUUUUAAACCAGCUUCGAGGGAUAUGAUUGCCUUAAUUAUGUCUCAAUUUGUGGUAACACUAAACAAUUAAAAUCUUAUUUAUUUAAAUCAAUUUCCUCUAAUAGUUGAUACAUUGUGCUUAACGAAUCGACGUGUGGCAAGUCAUGCGAGUAUCGCCAUUAAAGUAAAGUCCUCAAAUCAUGCGAAAGGGGGCACAAAAUGUGAAGAAAUCAUGUGAAUUACAACAUUAGCUUUGAUUGUUUUAAUACCAAUAUAUUGAAUGACGAUUGUGCACUUGUCUUCUUGUUUUGUGAAGUUUUAACAAAUCUGAUUUAAGUUAUUGAGUCGGUGGACAAAAUUAGUUGAAAGAUUUUGUGGAUUUUUAAAUGUCUCGGGACCCUUUCUUCAUUGUCAUUUUCUUCAUAUGGGUUGGGUUGGGUUGCGUUUUCUUUUCAAUUUGGGUGGCGGGUUCACAUUUAUAACAAGCCAGAUCUUUUCAAUUGCUUUUCAAUAAUGCCAUUGAAUCUGAUAAUUUAAAAAAGGGCUGCUGCGUUUUGAUGAAAAUGAUAUAAAUGUUAUUAAUAAUGGUUGGAAGAAAAUUUCAGGCCUCCUUAAAUAUAUGGGUUUUCUUUUAUAAUUUUGCGUUUAAAAAUAAAUAAAUAAAAUAAUUUUUUUUUCAAUAAAGAAAUUAGAUGCAUCAUUGGUGUUGCUAGUUCUAUAGAUUUAGGGUAUGAUGUUAUUUUAAAUUUCUACAUGAAUAAAAGUAUCGUACGAAACAUAUGUAGGCUGUAUACCCAACUUGCAAAAAUCGAAAGCACAAAGUGAAAAAGUAAUUUAUGAAAUUUUCUUUAAAAGCAGAAAGCUAAGUGCCCCUCUAUCAACCUUUCAAAAGGAAUCAUCGUUCAUCUUUUUCAAUUUUUUUUUUUUUUUUAGGGUUUAGUCAAGUGAUUUAUAAAUUUCAUAAAAAAAAAAUUGAUAUUUAGUCCGAAAUUCUAUUAAAUUGAAUAUAUGAAAUUUUUUCAUUAAAAAAAAAAGAAUAUAUGAUUUUUUUAUAUAUAACAAUAGUAAUAAAUAUCACAAUUGUUAUAUAAAUUAUAUAAUUGAUUUAUUAAACCGAUUAUUAAUUAACCAAAUAAAUUUAUUCACUCCUUUAAAAAUAAAGAAAAUGUCUUUGAAGUUACAAAAGCUCCACCAUCUUCUUUAAUUAUUAAAUUUAAGGUUCGCUUUGUCUUAGAUUUUGAAUUUCUCUCUAUUAUUGAUUGUGCCUUAAUUUUCUCAUCUAAUAUUCGAACGAUAAUAUUGUUAUUUUCCGAUUUCUGCCAAUCAAUUACGCAGCAGCCUUUGAUCAUUCAUAAUAAUGUGACUCGACAUCACUCCAUCCCUGCCUGAAUCAGAUCGUAUUUGGUUCUUUAAACAUUAUUGCAAAAGAAGAAACAGUCUUUUGGUUGUUGAAGUAGAAGCUUGUUUAUGUUCUUUAAAGGCCAGAACCAGAAGCUUCCAGUUGGAUCAAUGUUCGAUAAUUAAUCGCUGAAAUUUACUUUUUUAUUUAUUUUUUUGUUGGUAAACAAAUUGAUUCCUUCUGCUUUGGACAUAUUCGGCCGGUCUUUUUUAUCACAUGAUUGAAAGAUGAUGUGUGACCGCGCGUGGGUGAAUCCGAUUAUAAAUAUCAUAUAGAAUUUUAUUGAAUUAACUUAUUCUUGAUCUAAAUUUUGAUAUGAUUUUCUCAAUUAAAAAAAAAAAAAAAUCUUCUUAGAAUCACUUAAAUGAAGUGUGUGUGUGUGUGUGUCUGUAUCCAUGAGCCUAUGGAAUGUUUAUAAAAACUCAUUUACAGUUUUUUUUUCAAUGAAUAAUGCGGAUUUUAUUAAAAAAGAAAAAAAGGGGAUAUAAUAAUCUUAAAUUAUGAAAUGACUAAGUAAAUCAAUAUUUGGAUAAUUUUUAAAAAAUUUUAUAUAAAUUUUUUAAAUAACGAUAAAUAAAACGUUCUACUAACUAUACAAUACGCACACAACUUUUAUGCUUGCCUAAAAACUCAUUGAGUGAUGAUACAUCUAUAAAUUCUUAUAUAAACUUAUAUUGUAUAAAUUGAUGUGAUAUUAAUUAAUUAGUUGAAUAAAAAUAUAAAAUAAUAAAAAUAAAUCAUGUGAACCAAAAAAUAUUUCAUUCAACUAAUGAAUUAACGGCACAUCAGUUUGUACAAAAUAAAUUUAUACAAGAGUUACAUCAUUACUUAAACUCAUUUAUAGUUUAAUCAUGUUUUUUUUUUUUAAUGGUAUCUCAAACAGAGGAUAAAUCCAGUUCACAUGUACGAAAUUAAGAGUUCAACGUGUCGAUGUACGACCGCAGUAUGACAGAAGUUUCGUAACUCUGCGGGUUAGACGGUCAUGUCCCAAACAUUAUUUAAUAAUUGUUUAUUAUUUUAUGAUUUAAAAAUAAAAAAUAAAAGGAGAGAGAACCGACGGAGCACCGACAGAACAGUAGCAUGGUAUUUGGAGUUGACGCGUAUUGUUAAAAUGUCAGAUACUCAAAACUCGUACACAAGUCCAUCGAAGUCCACGCUUACAUGUACGGAUUUUUAAAAAUCUAUUUUAUUUUAUUUUUAGAUCUUUGACGGGAAUUUACUUUUUUUCAAAAAAAGACUGUUUAUUGUAAUAAAACAUGUGUUACGGAAGGCAGUGAUGAAUGAUUUAUUUUAUUAAUCAGGAUAAUAUUUGAUAAAUUCAGUGAUCAAUGGAUAUUAGCUGUUUGCGAGUUGUUAUUAUUCAAUUAAUAUUAUUUGGGGAACAAAUUUUGCAUAAGAAAUUUAUAACCGUAUAACUUUACUUUUGUUUUCCUUUUCAUUAAAUUGAUUAAACUAUAGUAUUACUUUUGAAACAAUAUUUGACGCAUGUAAUUCUAUUUAACAGUGUUUCCUAGUAAAAUGAUCAAAAGAAACAAGAAAAAAAUAAUUUACAUAAAAAAAACGUCAUUAUUAUUAUUAUUUAUAAGUGUUAAUGUGGUAACGAUCACAUAUCGCAGAGAAAUUUUACUAAUUAACUAUUUAGCAACAUCAGCAGCAAAACACGUGAAAAAAAGUUUUUAUUUUUAAUUUUUUUGAGAGAGUGAAAAAAAAAAAGGUUUUGAUUGAAAACUAGAAGAUAAUUCCCUGCCGAACGAACUUCUCAACUAAAUUACAGUUAGAAAUAUCAUGAAUGUUGUACCUUUUGAUUUGAAGUGAACAAAUUAAAUGAAGCAACUAAGCAAUGGAAACAAAUAAUGGAGGCUCACGAAUGAAAAGACUAAAGGAUACAAAAGUUAUUAUAAUAAUUAACUUUUUUUUUUUUCAAUAAGAACAACAAUAAGGCAUAGUAGUUUUUCAAAAUAAUUAAUGUUAAUUGUGUGCAAUUGAAAUAGUAAGUAGUGAAGAAAAUCAGUUAAAUUUUAAUAAAAUUUAUUUUUAAAAUUAUUGUAAAUUUUAAAUGCAAUCAUAUGUUUUUAAUAAAUUUUAUUAUUGGGAAUAUAAAUAAUCAAAUUAAAUAUAAUAUUUAAUAAAAUUUAUUUACAUAUUUGUAAACAUAUAUAUAUAUAAUAUUUUUAUUGAGUAUAUUUUAUAACUCAUAACUAAAAUAAAUAUUUUAUAUUAUUAAUUUUAUUUUUUUUACCCUAACUAUUCCUAAACGGUUAAUAAUAUUUCAAUCAUGGUAAUUCUGAGAGGGCAGAAUUCGCAAUUUCUCAGAAAUGCAAAAUGAGCUGGCGACAAAAAAAUUAAAAUUAAAAUUAAAAAUUGAUGUGCUGCUGCUGCUGCGGGCCUGCGGCAACAUGUGCCGGUGAUUCCAAACAAAAUCACGCCAUUGCCUGGAUUCACAACUCUUCUGUUGUCUGUGAUGGGGCCCUCCAAUGCGAAUGCGUCACAAGCCACUCAUUAUUGAAAUUGAGACAGUUUCCCGUCACCUCCCGGUGACUUACAUACUCGAUGGUUAAAGGGCAUCCUCAUUAGAUCUGGGCCGUCAAGUUUCAUCAGAUAUUGGAUCCCGAAGCUAUGAGUUCUGACACGUGGCACAUGUCGUACUGUAAAACGGUACUGUUGGUCCCACACGGAAAGUGCUAGUAUGCUGGACAUGCUAAACGGAAACCGGUCAGCGGGAAAUCGUAUGAAUGGAAAGUGGAAUCUCAGGGGCAUUUAAAAUUACGAAAAAAAUAUGCUUCAUUUUACAACUUUGCCAUCGUCUUUUUCUUCGACCAUUGCAUUUAUUAAAAAUAAAUUUUUGGAAUAAUUGUAAAACUUUUUUUUUUAAUUAGUGAAAUCUCACUGUAUUUUUCCAAAAAUAAAAAAUAAAUAAUAAUCAAGCUUAAUCUAGAUAAAUAUCAAUUGAAUCACUUUCAAAUCUCAAGAAAUGUAAUUAAAAAUAUUUCAAGUUGAUAAAUGAUCAAUGUGAAAACGUACAAGUUGGUCUUGUUUUGUUGUAGUGUUGUCAACAUUUUAAUUGCGUUUUCAAUUUUUUUUUUAAUUUUUUUUUUAUUUUAUGGUUUGAGGUAUUGUUAGUUGGAGCAUGAGAGUCAAGGUCUUUAUGAUGUACUAGUGGGUACUUUUUGUUCAAUGUCGGUCUCUGGGACAUUAUGGAAACCUAACCCACUUUGAAAUUAUGAACCAGGGAUUUAAUGGAUAUAUUCCAAAAUUCCAUUAUUGUUAUUUUGCAAAUGCAGAUCUCUGCUUUAAGUGGAAAAAUAAAAAUAGGUUAUCACUAAACAGUUUGUUUUUAUCCCAAAAGUUAGUUAUUAAUGUCUUUAAAAUAAAUCUUAUUUUGCACUUUUAGGAAUAAAAAUUUAAUAAUAUAACUAAAGAUGAUUUACUAGUAUUCAUUCAAAAAAUAAAAUAAAAUAAAAUCUGUAAGUUAGCCAGUUGGUUGCUCUUUUGAAUGAUAGAAUCGCGAUUUUCAAGUUAUCAAGAGCUAUCCCAUUAAGAAGGUUAAAAAAAUUAUACAUUUUACUAUUAAUUUUUUAACGUUUUUAAAAUUUAUAGUGUUCAAUACUAAACGAAAUCUUAUAAUAAUGUAUGUACAAGUCUUUUUUUAAUUGGUUAUAUCAACUCUGUGAUUAAAAAAAAAAAACAAAACCAAAACAAAAUUUUAUUGUUAAUAAAAAAUCCAGUUCCCAUAUCCGCCGGUUGCCACCCAGGACCGUACAGGAAAAUGGGGCGGUGACUUGAAUAAGCUCCUAUUCUUUUGGUAUUUUUGUUUAGCAGGCGAAGAAAAUUGAACUCACGUCUCCCGCAUUGCCAAUCAACAACAUUUGCCAUGACAUUAGUAUCUUCAAACAAUUGAAUAACUUUUUACGUAUAUUUUAAAUAAAUAAAUAUGUAAGAUAAAAAUAUUUUGAUGAACAAUUGUAAACGUGAAGUAAUUCUGUAGUGUCUUGUAAAUGAUGAUAAAAAUAUGAAAUGCGAUUAUAUAAUAUAUUAUAAAUGAUUAUAUAACUGCAGAUUAAUCCGACAAUAUUGAGAGUGUUUGGGAUAGCUGCGCUGUGCUCCCCAUGCUUUAAUUUAGGGGAAUAUCCCUUGGAACAAAGUAUGGGGAGCAGCUGCGCUAUGGUAGCCUAGCUGCCCCAAACGGACCCUUUAUAUGAUAACAACUCUCACUGCUUAAAAUAUGUAUAAAAUUAAUUCUUAAAAUUAAAUUUGAAAAGUUACCACUUUCAUACUUAUCAAAACCUACUAUAAGAUGAAGCGAUUUUAUUAUAAAUAAUUUAUUGAACAAUAAAAUUAAAUUUUAAUUUUUCAAAAUCCUUUCCAAACCUCUUACCAACAAUUCUAAACUGGCCAUAAAUAAUUAAAAACAAUUGUAUAUCGACGCAACUCUUUUUAGACUUUUACAAAAGAGUAAUGAUAUAGUCACAAAUUCUUGUACAAAUUUAUUUUGUACAAACUGACGUGGCACGAUAAGAUUGGUUGAAUGAAAAUAUAAAUUAAUAAAAACAAAUUAUGUGGGUCAAGUGAUAUUUAAUUCAACCAAUCUUAUCAUGCCACAUCAGUUUGUACAAAAUAAAUUUGUACAAGAGUUUAUGGUUGUAUCAUUACUCUUUACAAAAAUUCCUCCAAUAGCACACACAUUUCACUGCAUCAGUGGCAUUUCUGUUAUUAUAUGCAAAAACUAAAGACAUAUUUGAAGAACAGUUUAAGUUGUUUAACGAGAUCUUCUCUUCCCAAAAUAACCAUCCCAAAAAACGACGCCGCUUGUGUUUCCUUACUGAACUCUUAUCUCCUUCUCUCUCCCCUACACGCAAGUCCCCUCCUUGCACAGACAUCUCUCUCUUUCAGCAAUCCCCAUUAACUUCAAAACAACCUUUCUCUCUCUCUCUCUCUCACCAACAUUCAGCUCAGUUGUGUUUUUUUUUUCUCCAAAAAAAUAAUAAUUAUAUGUGAAGGAGUUUUUUGUUCUCUGAAAAGGAGGAACAAAAAGAAGAAGGGCUAUGGCGGAAGCAACAAAGCAGUUGAGUAAGCUGGUGACAGAGUUCAAAAGCACCUUCAGUCUCUUCAAAACAAGAAGAAGUGUUGCUUUCGCAUAUGGGUGUAUGUUUGUUUUUGUUGCUUUCACUGUUUUCAUUGCUUUCAAUCCUUCCUCGAACACCUCUUCUUCUCUCUCUUUCUCCAACAUCUUCACCACUUCCAUUACUGCCGCAAGAUCUAAGUCCUCUUCUGUUUUCUCUCACUUCUUCCCCAAUUUACAGCAGCCCCAUAACUCCUCCUCCUCUUCUUCUUCAGCCUCUUCUUCGGCUUCCCAAUUUAAUGGUACUAGAUCUAAUGGUAACAACAUCACUUUUUCAGAACCACCCAGUACAAAAAACCGUACCGAGAAUGCUGGUAAAGUUGCAAUUUUACAUGCAAAUCAGACCUCAAUUGUCAAGAAGCCACCAUCCAGUGUGCAAAACCAGGCUCGAAGUUCAGAAAUUUCUCAUAAAGAUCAAAUUUUGAAGGCGAAGCCAAGCUCAGUUGUGAAUAAGUCACCAUCCAGUGUGCACAAUAAGACUCAGAGUACAAAAAGAGAUGCAGAUUUGCGCGCAAACCAAACCUCAGUUGUCAAUAAGGCCCCAUCCAGUGUGAAGAACCAAACUCAAAGUUCGGAAAUUUCUGUUAAAGAUCAAAAUUUGAAGGCAAAUCAGAGUGCUGCACCUGCUAGUAAGAGCACUAAUUCAAGCUCAUUGGUGAAGGAUGGAGUGACAUCGAAUUACACGGCAUCUUUGGCGAAGAAACAGAGUGAUGAUGGGAAGAAACGGAGGAAUGGAAAUGAUGCAGGGGUUGUGGUGAAGCAGUGGAUGGAGGAUUUGAUGAACUGUGAUUUGUUUGAUGGAGAAUGGGUUCAUGAUGAUUCAUAUCCGCUUUAUAAAGCAGAAACUUGUUCUUUUAUUGAUGAGCAAUUUGGCUGCCUUCGUAAUGGAAGGCCUGACAGAGAUUUUCUGAAAAUGAAAUGGAAGCCUAAAGGGUGUAAAUUGCCAAGGUAUGGAUCAGAGUUUCAGUUUAUUCGUUUGAUUUAUACUUAUUGAUCAAUUUAUGUCUUUGCUUAUACCACUGGAAUUAAUCGUCAAUUAUGUUAAACUGGUUUAGAUGAAUUUGAAUUGCAUAUAGGUUGAAUGGAGCUCAUAUGUUGGAAUUGUUAAGAGGCAAGCGACUUGUGUUUGUCGGCGAUUCAUUGAAUAGGAAUAUGUGGGAAUCUCUUGUUUGCAUUCUGAAAAACUUAGCAAAAGAUCCAAAGAAUGUUUAUGAAGCCAAUGGGAGAUCCCAUUUUCGUGGAGAAGCAUCGUACUCAUUUAUAUUCAAAGUAUGUUAUUGAUCUAUUAAUCAUUUACCAUUCAUGUUUGUUCUAUAUUCUCGUGUUUAUUUUAUAAUUUUCGUUCGAUAGGAUUACAACUGUUCUGUGGAGUUCUUUGUAUCGCCUUUCUUAGUCCAAGAAUGGGAAAUGCCAGAAAAAGACGGAACGAAGAAGGAAACGCUUCGGCUGGAUUUAGUAGGAAGGUCUUCUGAUCAAUACAAAGGUGCCGAUAUCAUUAUUUUCAACACCGGUCAUUGGUGGACUCAUGACAAAACUGCUGAAGGGUAUGGCAUUUGUUGUUCUUAUUAACAAAUUUUUUUUAUGGUAAUUAAAUAUUGAUUAGCAGAAACUAAAACAACGGUUGAUAUUUGCAGGAAAGAUUAUUACCAAGAGGGUAGCCAUGUAUAUGGUGAGCUGAAUGUUCUUGAGGCUUUCCGAAGAGCUUUAACAACGUGGGCUAGGUGGGUUGAUGCCAAUGUAAAUCCAAUGAAGUCUAUGGUUUUCUUCAGGGGUUACUCUGCUUCCCAUUUCAGGUAAUGAAUAUAUUUAAUUCAAUUUUUUUAAUUGUGUUGGUCUUGCCUAUUCUUGCGUUACUAAUUCCGAUGUAAAGUUUUAGUGAAAGACCUUAGAUGGUGCCAUAUGGAUAUUGCAUUUGUUUCCCACUGUAACUGCUUUGGGAGCUCAGCAUCUUGAACCUUGGACUCAACAAUAAUACUUUACUAAUGUUUCUCUAAAUGUUGUUUUUGUUUUUAAUUCAGCGGAGGGCAGUGGAAUUCCGGAGGGGCAUGUGAUCACGAGACUGAACCGAUCAAGAACAAGACAUAUCUCACAGCGUAUCCACCUAAGAUGAAAGUAUUAGAGUCAGUGCUCAAAGGGAUGAAAACCCAUGUCACUUACCUCAACAUUACCCGAUUGACUGACUACCGGAAGGAUGGUCAUCCGUCAAUCUAUAGAAAGCAACACAUAUCAGAUGCGGAAAGGAGGUCGCCAUUGAGGUACCAGGACUGCAGCCACUGGUGCCUUCCUGGUGUACCCGAUGCAUGGAACGAGCUUUUCUAUGCUGAGCUUAUCAUAAAGGAGAACAAGAUGCUGAAACAUCAGAAUUCAAAGAGAUAUAGGUAAAUUUUUUUGACCACCAAGCUUUUUACAGAGGCCAAUCAUAUUUAACGGGUGCUUUGUAGAAAUCACACAUGCCGUAUAGUUCUUUUUGUCUAUUUUCUUGGAAUUGUAGAAGCAAAUCACCGUGGAGAAGCUCCAUACAAGUAAUUAAUAUUUUUCUCUUCCCGAUAAGUUAUGAGCAAAAAUGUGGGAUGACAUAAAAAAUGAAAAUAUACGUCAGAGAGAUUGAUCAGUACUUUGUAAUAAUCGUAUUUGUUUAUAUGCAAGCCAGUCCCUCUGGAGCUCUUGUGCCACAUGGCAAUUUCUUGUGGAAGGCAUUAACUUAAGUGAGUAAUGAUGUAGUGAGUGAUGGUGCCGGGCUGUUUGAUUAAUUUUCAAUCAUAAAAUUUAGCAUUUGUUCAGGUAGUCACUACUAGUGUUUAGUGUCUAUUAAGCCAUCUUCUUUAAGCUGGAGUUGGCUGAUGAAAACUUGUGCAAAAAAAUUUUAUUUUAAAAUAAUUUUACCGUUUAAUUACUUUUUUUUGGCCCAAUGGUUGAUGUUCAAUUUAUAAAUUUGUUUGUUUGUCAAAGUUGUGACGGUGAAGUUUCAAAGUUUCAAACUUGACUAGUGGUAAAUAAUGAAGGAUUGUUGGAGCUUUUUUGUUGAUGUCAUUUUCCUUUAGUUGAAACAUUUGUCAAUUUUGUUUGAGGAAAAUGAUUCCGCUGAUUGCUGCUUUUAAUAAGUUAUAUAUAUAUAUAUGUGUGUGUGUAUAAAAUUAUUUUGGUUGCACACUUUACUCCUUUUCUCGCUUGGGUCACAUGAGAUGCCUUUGACAGCAAAUCACCACUUCAAAAAAUAUGAUAAAGCUUUGUUUGAUUUGUCGGUAAUCUCAAUAUUAUUAUUAUUAUUAUUAUUAUUCUUUUUUUUUUUAGGCUUAGUGAUUGCCAUGUCGAAAUCACAUGACAUGUGGACUGUGUGGAUGUUGUAAAAUCUAGAUUUAAAUUAGAAUCAAAAUUGUACAUCGUUGUAAAAUAAUAAUUAAAAAAAAAUUGCCAGACCAAGAAAACAAAUCAAUUUAAAACAAGAAGCCAGCAAUGUUGAGAACAAACUUUACAAAAGUCACUUAAGACAUACCAUUUAGAUUUAGUUUCAAUAUAAAUAAUUAUUAAUUUAUGUAAUAAUUGGGUGUUAUAGAAAAAAUAUGAAUUUUUUUAAAAAAAAUUACUAUCCUAUAGAAAAAAAAUAUAUUAUGUUAGUCCCAGGUUGGGAUUGGUGAAAAAUAUUAUUUAAUUGAUGUUAUUAAUUUAUUGAGUAUCAUUUUAUCAAGGUUCUAAUGAACCAAGAAAAUAUAAGAAUAGAGGAGCUACUUAGCACCUACUUUUUGAUAUUUUAUUUGUUAUAAGAAUUAAGGUAUGCUAUGCUUUUUAAGUUAUAGUUGUUGUGGAAAAAAAAUGUAACUAUAAAAUAAAAGUUAAUAAUAUAAAUUUUAAAUAAUAAUUUUGACAAAAUUAUUAAAGAUAUAAUAAAUUUUUCAUCGUACAAGUGAAAAAUCAGGUCAACAUAACUUUUAAGCUACAGCAGCUAUUGUUUACCAAAUAUUUUAGUAUUGUCUAACCUUAAAUACAAACGCACCUUAUAUCUUAUUAGACCCCACUUAUUUUGUUUUUUUUUUAAUUAUAUUAUAAUUAUGAAUGCAAUUGCUUUAAGGGAACCCCAAGAAAAUUUUUUUUCAAAGAAUCAAGUAUUCUAUUUUUUAUUACCAAAUUAAAAUGUAUUGUUGUUUAUCAUGCACGGGAUCUGAAUAAAUGAAAAUUAAUCUAAUCGUUCAUCCAUUCAUACAAUUGACCGGAAUAUAUAGAAGGAUUUAUUGACUAAAUGAAAAAAAGAAAUGUUUAAUUAUUGUAAUGCCUUUUCGUUUCUAAUAUAAAUUAAACAAUUGUGAUUAACAAUAAUAAGGUAUUUGAAGUCUAUGAGAAGCAAUAAUAACGGUAAAUUGAUGCUAUUAGCACCCCUCUGAACUCUUCUUAAAACCCUUCCUUCUGAACGAAACCCCUUUAAAAUACCACUUUUUUUUCCAAAAGUAAACUUAAUUCACCUCAUUCUUCAUUAAAACCAGCGACAGAAUUUUUAUUACUCGCAUUUUAAAACCCCGAAUAGAAAUGUGAUUUGAAAGAGAUGAAUAUAAAAAUCAGAAAGAAAAGAAGAACUUGCAGGAGCCAAAGAAAAGAAGAAUUAGCAGGAGCUUUAAUGUGCUUCAGGUUUUUGAUAUUCUUCCAUUAAUUUUCAGACAGAAACUUUAGCAAGAAAAUCAAUUGAUUCCAACUUUUCUCUUGUUUCCAGCCAUGCCUUCAAGCUCAGAGACUUCGAAAAAUGAGUGGAAUAUCAUAUGGUCUCUUGCUCUGCCAAAAAAGAUAAGAAUUUUUGCAUGGAGGGCAGCCAAAAACCUACUUCUUUCAGCUGAGAAUUUGUGGAAGAGGAAAAUAUUCAGGAGCCUACCUGCCAGGUGUGUAAAAUGUAGUUCAUGCUUUAGUGGAGUGUAAAGCUGCUAAGAAGGUAUGGAGACUUACUCAUUUUGAUAAUGAUAUCCAUGCAGCUCCUGGGCAGGAUAUUUUGAGUAUGUUGCAUAGCAUGAAAAGAAUGAGAAGCAAAGCUGACAUAGAGUUGUUUGUAUCGAUUCUUUGGGUGAAGUGGAAUGCAAGAAACCAAUUGCUGUUCAAAGAAAAACGAGAGAAUCCCCAGAUUAUGGUGGCUAAAGCUGAAGCUGUAAUGGAGGCUUAUAAGAGGGUGCAAUCUUCAACUGAUGUAAGCAAUGAAAAUCAGCAGAGGAUGUCUCAACAGGCUUGGUAUCCCCCCCCCCCCUAAAAAAGGAUUUGUAAAGGUCAACAUCGAUGCAGCUGCCAGCUCAUAAAAGAACCUUGCUGGUCUGGGGGCUGUCAUCAGAGAUGAAACGGGGCAAGUUACAGCAGCUGCAAUCAAGAUUUCUAAAUUCCAUGGAGAUGUCUCUUAUGCUGAGGCAGAAGCUAUGGAGUGGGGCAUGCAGAUUGCGAGAGAAACUCAUGUAAAAGCUUUAAUUGUGGAAUCAGAUUCUCAAGGAGUGGUCUGCUUAGUAAACAACGGGCAGGGCAACAGAUCCGAGAUCUUUUGGGUGUUGUCGGAAAUUCAAAAGUUAAUGGAAAACUUCGAGCAUGUUAGUAUUAAGUAUAUGCAUAGAUCUUGUAAUAUCAUUGUCCACUCUUUGGCUAAGUUAGCUUUAGAGAAAUGUGAAACUGUUGUAUGGAAGGGUUCAUACCCUCCUCCACAAGUGAUGUAUCUUUUAUCCUCUUUGAAUUAAUAGAAAUCUCUUUUUUUUAAAAAAAAAAAAGUAAAAAAGUAAAUUACAUAUAAGUUAGAGGUACCCUAAGGCACUAUGUUCGUAAUACAACAAACAAAUAAUAUUAUGAAAUGUGUGUAUUUAUUUUGAAAAAUUAACAUGUAAGCGGCUGUUAUAUAAAAUUUAACCAUACGUUUUAUACACACAUUAAUUAAUUAUAUUAUCUCUUACGUAUUCUAAAGAGUUCAUGAUAUCUGGUAACAAACUGUAACGAAUAAGACUGAGGCUAGAACGGUGAAAAUAAAUUUGUGGGUUUCAUAACAAAGUAUAUAUAAGGGGGCCCCGCUAACAGCUCCAAUCCAACGGUAAUUUGGUUUCAAAUGGGGUGUAUAAAGACACAUAAACAUUUUUUUGUAGUAUACUUAGAAAAGGGAUCUGGUCAUAUGACUCGUGGAGGCUGAAUAGCGCCGCUCUUAAGAGAAAAAUGUCGUCAACAAAAUAAAUAAAUAAAAAACCUUCUAUUUUCUAAUGCAAUUAAAAACAAAAAUUAAUAGUAAAAAAAAAAGGUGGUCAUAUAGUAAUUAAAAUAGAUGUGGAUCUCGUGUUGGAGACUGGUUCUAGAACCUUGACUUUUUUUUUUUGGUUGGGGUUAAUAAUCUGGAACCUUGACUUUAAUUUCAAGUAUCCCCCCCCCCCUAAAAAAGGAUUUGUAAAGGUCAACAUCGAUGCAGCUGCCAGCUCAUAAAAGAACCUUGCUGGUCUGGGGGCUGUCAUCAGAGAUGAAACGGGGCAAGUUACAGCAGCUGCAAUCAAGAUUUCUAAAUUCCAUGGAGAUGUCUCUUAUGCUGAGGCAGAAGCUAUGGAGUGGGGCAUGCAGAUUGCGAGAGAAACUCAUGUAAAAGCUUUAAUUGUGGAAUCAGAUUCUCAAGGAGUGGUCUGCUUAGUAAACAACGGGCAGGGCAACAGAUCCGAGAUCUUUUGGGUGUUGUCGGAAAUUCAAAAGUUAAUGGAAAACUUCGAGCAUGUUAGUAUUAAGUAUAUGCAUAGAUCUUGUAAUAUCAUUGUCCACUCUUUGGCUAAGUUAGCUUUAGAGAAAUGUGAAACUGUUGUAUGGAAGGGUUCAUACCCUCCUCCACAAGUGAUGUAUCUUUUAUCCUCUUUGAAUUAAUAGAAAUCUCUUUUUUUUAAAAAAAAAAAAGUAAAAAAGUAAAUUACAUAUAAGUUAGAGGUACCCUAAGGCUUUGAAUUAAUAGAAAUCUCUUUUUUUUUAAAAAAAAAAAAGUAAAAAAGUAAAUUACAUAUAAGUUAGAGGUACCCUAAGGCACUAUGUUCGUAAUACAACAAACAAAUAAUAUUAUGAAAUGUGUGUAUUUAUUUUGAAAAAUUAACAUGUAAGCGGCUGUUAUAUAAAAUUUAACCAUACGUUUUAUACACACAUUAAUUAAUUAUAUUAUCUCUUACGUAUUCUAAAGAGUUCAUGAUAUCUGGUAACAAACUGUAACGAAUAAGACUGAGGCUAGAACGGUGAAAAUAAAUUUGUGGGUUUCAUAACAAAGUAUAUAUAAGGGGGCCCCGCUAACAGCUCCAAUCCAACGGUAAUUUGGUUUCAAAUGGGGUGUAUAAAGACACAUAAACAUUUUUUUGUAGUAUACUUAGAAAAGGGAUCUGGUCAUAUGACUCGUGGAGGCUGAAUAGCGCCGCUCUUAAGAGAAAAAUGUCGUCAACAAAAUAAAUAAAUAAAAAACCUUCUAUUUUCUAAUGCAAUUAAAAACAAAAAUUAAUAGUAAAAAAAAAAGGUGGUCAUAUAGUAAUUAAAAUAGAUGUGGAUCUCGUGUUGGAGACUGGUUCUAGAACCUUGACUUUUUUUUUUUUGGUUGGGGUUAAUAAUCUGGAACCUUGACUUUAAUUUCAAAAGAAUAAUAGUUUACAUUACAUUAGUGUUGUUUACUUGUUUUUAUUUAACAAUUUUUUUUUUCUUCUUUUAAAAUUUAUUAUUAACUUUUAUAAAAAUUUGAAGAUUUUUCCCCCCCACGUUUAUUUGGAAGCAUGAUGUUGGAAAAACAGAAUUCUAAUUCCUUGACUUACAAUUUAUUCAAAGUUGGGUUCCAUUGUUUACUUUUCUAACAAGUAUUUGUUAUUAGUGGCUUGAAUUAUUCAAUCUCAUGCUAUCGAGGAGUAAUAUAAUAUGUACAAAAUUGAGAUACAAAAACCGUAUUUCAAAUGAUAUGAAAUAUGACGUGUUUUUUAACUAUUGAUUUUAAUAAUUAAGGUCUUAAUGAUGAGAUAAUAAAAUUAACCUAUAUCUUAAUGUAUGUCGAUCAAUAAUUGGCGACACAUCAACAUUAUUAGCAUGAUAACAUUGGGUCCAAAUUUAUGGCAAUCUACUAUCUUUUACCCAAAUUUUCUCAUAUUGAGCAAAUACAAGAAUAAAUCUAUAUUAUUUUCAGAAUUAGCAUCCCCUUGUCAAGGAAAAUUGCUCACCUUCUUCAACUGAAUUUUUUUAAUGAGAUACACCAAAAAGUGGACUGAUACUUUGAUCAAGAAUAGAUCAUAAAGGAGAGGAAUUAGAGAAAUAAGAAUUUUUGUCGGAAUUUUACUCAUCAACAAAAAUUUAUUGAUGGGGGUACUAAACUUGUUAACAAGGGUUAUAAUCAUAUAACGGGGUAUAUUGAGAUACGAAAUGGGGGCCAAAUAGCUCUCUAUUGUAAUCUUAAUGGGUAGUUGGGUACAAUCCAUUUGGACCGAAAAUAUAAAACAUUUUGCACAUUCGGCUUGUUCAAAGCCUAUUGCUCUUGAGUUUGUUGGACCCAAAAUCCAAAAUUUGGCAUACCAUUACCAUUGCUUCUUGGUUGUUUGGUUUGAAAAUUGAAUUUUUUUUUUUCCUUUUAAAAGCCUAGAGGGUAGGGGUGUCUUUCUUGUAUCACAAAAUUUAGAGCAGAUCAAACUUUAAAAUUGAAAGGAAAAAAAUUACGUGUACUAGUGCAUUAUUUUGUUUGAGUACAUGCAUGAAUGACAAGAUGUACAAGAAAAUGCUUCCUUUUUGCCCUGGACAACUUUUUUUUUUUGAGAAGAAAGUAAACCUUUUCAUUUAAAACAAUACUAAAUCAGAACAUUCAUCACCUCUGCUGGAAUAUGGUCUAACCAGACAGCAGGCGUAUUUGCUGCCACAGCAAAUUUUGCUAGGGAAUGAGCACAAACAUUACAAGUUCUAGGGAUAUGAUUGACAAUGACAUUACAAAACUCACUUUUUUGGUUCUGGAUCUCUUCAAUUAUCCACCAUAGUCCUGUUUUGUUGCUCUUUGUGUUGUUUACUAACUCAACCAUAGUCCUUUUUUCCCUGGACAAUAAAGUGAAGAAAACAAACCCUUAUUUAUUUUCUUGAAGAUCAUUACCUUUUUCUAUUAUCUGGAAGAUUUCAAGCCAUAGAAAAUGGAUUUGUGCAGACAAUUUGUUACUGUAUCGGCUAGAAGGUCCAAAUCCAGUGGUGGAAGAUAUUUUAGAAGGGCUAAUAUGUUUAGUUCAAACAUGUGUCCGUCUACUGUAUAAAAAAAAAAAAAAAAAAAAACAUGUUCUGUCUACUUCAAUAGGACCCCAUGGUAUCUCUAAGGCACCUUUUCGAACACGUCAUGUCUACUUCAACGGAGCCCAAUGGCAUCUCUAAGGCAUCUUUAUCUCCUUGUACUUCAAUAGGACUACAAUGGUUCAAUUAAUUAUUUAUAAUAGUAUGUUAUUUUUGGGGCCAUGACUAGAUAAUGUUGUAUUUUUAAUGCUAUAAAGCAACAUUAUUUGUUAUAGUCUUAAUUCAAAUUAUUUUUUGGUUUGAGUUCGGAAGAAUUAAUGCACCGCGGACUAAUUGUUGGUGGUAUAUAUUUGUGGGGAAUGGCAAAUGUAGAGAAUUGUAAUAAUAAUGUUAGAAUUUUAUUGUGUAAAGUAAUGUGUUUACAACUCUGUAUGUAGGAAGAAAAUAAUGUGUACUUCACGGUACGUUACAAAUGUCGCUUUUCUUAAGACGUGAUUUGCUCCCAUCAAUUGAGUGAUGCACAUGGGUUAAACAAAUACGCCUCCCAAAUAUAAUAAAACACUUGUUUGUUUGCUUGCGUUGUGAAUCGAUGAAAGCAAACCAUAACAUUUUUGAAUGUUUCAAACAUGCUAAGAAACAAUAUAUUGGCUAUUUAAUGCACAAGAAUAAGUGUUUUAUGAUUAAAUUCGUUUUAGAAAAAAAGGCUGAGAAAAGAGUGGUGUGAGAUAAUUAUUUUCAUGUCUAAAUAUCCUAAAGAUGGCCUCUAUUUAUAAAUAUACUUGUGCCCUUCCAUUUGGAGUGUCAUCUUUCAUGAUAUCCCUUCAUUCAUAUCCAUUGGAUCAAGAUUUAAUAUUAAUCAAUGGCCCAAAUUGAACCAUCACCAUUUCAAAUGAAAUGUCACCAUGAAAUGAUAUAUUUUCAAAUGAAAGACCACCAUGAAAGGAUGUAUCCUUUAAGUGAAAGGAUAACUCUUCCAUAAAGCACAAUUAAAUAGACAUUUCUUUACAAUAAGACACUAUUUAUUUUUAAAAAUAUUCCAAUACUAACUAGAGGGAUAAGAUCUAUUAAUUUAUACAAGUUGUUGUUGUUGUUGUUAUUAUUAUUAUUGUACCAUUGAGGUUUAUAUUCAUGGUAAAUGCAUAGAACACUUCUGAAAAAAAAAAAAAUUCUUCUGUUUUACGGGAUAUCUUAGGUACUUGUUUAUUUUUUAGUUUGAAGUCUUAAUUUAGCUUUUUUUUAAAAAAAAAUUACUUAUUUUGGGCUAUUUAUUUUCUUUAACAUACCACUUGUUGUCAAAGAAUUUUACCUAAAUAGAAAAAGUAGAAAAAAGUCCACUUUUAUCUGAAGUUAGAAAUCUAAAUAAAAAAUUUUAAUUUCAAAUCUCAAAAUUAGUCUCAACAAUUCAUAUAUUUCCUAUAUUACGUAUAAACCUAAUAUUUUUGUAUUAUCCUAGAAAUAAUUAUUUUUAAUUGAUUUAAUUUUUCUUCUCAUUACAACAUUAAUUAAACCAAAAUAUUGAACAAAUCAAAUUAUAUCUAUUGUAAUGAAUAAAAAUAAAAUAGCAAUGUUCACUUUAUAAUGAAAGUUGAUGUUAUAAUUACAAUUAUAACAUCUUUUAUUACAAAACUAAAUUAAGAAACAAUGAUAGUACCUUUUUUUUUUUUUUAAUGCUAUCAAACUAUCCACUUGUUAAAUUUUCAAAUUGUGAAGAACAACAUAUAUAUGCACCACUAAAAUGAUAUUUAUGUCAAACUGUUAGUUUUUAAAUUUUUAUAAUUGAAAAUUGAAAAAAAAAAAAACAUGUCAUUCAGAAAUUACCAUCUAAACCUAUCCAGACUACAAUUAAAUUCAAAUCUAUUCAUAUUAAAACAAACAAAUUCAACCUUAGUCAAGCAUGAUCCAUAAUUAUAUAUCUUAUUUUAAAACUAUGUCGCUCAUCUAUAUUAGUCUUAAACGGAAAUUCUUAAGAGUCAAUUAUAGGGAAAGAAAUCCUUGAGUCUCAUGAAAUAAUUGUAAAGAGGACGUUUCAACGAAAGAGGGGCGGCUAACAGGAUUGCAGCCUGCAAUUAACUUCGUAUUAUUUCAGUCAGGUCAUUUUUGUAGGCUGUUUAUUAACAUAAAACAUGUAAAUCAUAGGAUGGCAUUCAAGUUGGUCGUUGAACAAUCGUUUUUGCAAUAUAAUUAGGUUGAUUUAAUCAACUAAUCAUCAUUUCUUUAUUAAUGAAACCCAACCACUUAUCACACCGACACAUAGUACUAAUUGAGAAGUAAAUAAAAUUAUCCAAUAUCGUGCAUUAGUUUUGAUUUCAAUAUUAAAAAAAACAAAACAAAAAAAUUACAAAAAAUUAACGAAACUUCUUAAAUCAAUAUCCAACUUCCAACAUUUACAUUGUAAAUGAUGUGACACUAAAUUUUUCUUGUCCAUAUUGAUAUUAUUAUUUUACUCAUAUCAUGUGGAAAUAUUCAAUAAAAAUUUAGAGGGUUUAGAAUUAAUUUCAGUCCUACUAGCAUGGAGGAAAGAACACAUUGCACUUUUAACCAAGAAAUUGAAAACAAAAAAAAAAACGAAAAAAGACCAAAAGGCAGAUUUCUAAUAAAAAUUUCUUCCAUUAUCUCAUUAAUUAAUGUCAGUCAACAAAAUAUAUCAACUCUUACAAUAUCUCCCUCUCCCCAUUACACAAAACUACUAGGAACUAGAGAAAAUUAAUAAUUUAAAAAAUAAAGAUAAUCUUCAAGCCAAAAAAAUUUACAAAACGGACAAAAGGAUCUUUAUAUUUCAGGUUUUUUUUUUUUUCUUCAAAGCUUACAUAUAUAAUUUCUGUACUUUUCCACAUUUCAUGAAGUCGAUUGAGCACCUUGGGCUUGGGGCAACUGAGAAAAUGGAAACAAUCUAGCAGGCUUGUUAGCCAAUUGUAAUGUUACGGAGGAGUCCUUGUUGUUGCUGUUGUUGCCCUUAGCGGCGGUGGUAGCAGCUGCUGCAGUGGUGGCUGUGGCGGAGGAGGUGGUGGCGGUGGCCACGCGCUCGCAAGAAGGACACAUAGUGAGAGUAGUGGCAGGGAGCUGCAUGUAAAAAGGUUGAGAGGUUUUUAAAGCUCUUAAUUCUUGCAGCUCUUUCUGUAACCUCCUGUUCUCUUCCGUCAAUGUCUCACAGCAUCUCUUUAAAUACUCACAAUCCACUUCUGUCUGCUUCAACUUUGUCCUGCAACAUGUUGUACAACACAAUAUCAAGACGUGCCUGAAUUAACUCGCCUUCACCUUUCAUAACUUAUGAUGAUGAUAAUGACAACAGCAACAACAACAUUAACGUUGAUUAAUGAUCUUCCCAUGAGGUCACUACAAUAGGAGAAAAGUAUGCAGAACCAUUGUUGUUAAUUAUAGCACCUUAUUUUCCAUCGCGUAUCCCAAUCUUUAGUUACAAUAUAAUUAAAAAAAACCUGAGAGUAUAGAUAAAAGUUGGGUUUUCCAAUGGAACCAAAGUCGCUUUAACAAAACUUGGGAUGCGUAAUGAAAAAAACCUUUUAUCAUACAAUCAAUUGCAGGGUUGAGGAAGAAAAAAUACAGCUAAAAAAUUUUGUUACCUUGCUCUCCGGUUUUGAAACCACACUUCAACUUGUCGAGGACGGAGAUUCAAUUGUUUGGCCAAAGCAAGCUUUUGCUUCUGCAUGCAAAUUUCAAAAAUUGUAGACACUCAAUAUAGACAAAUUUUAAAUGCUUAAUUUAAAUAAAUUAUUCUAAACCCCUUUCUUUCUUUUUUUUUUUUGGGUGGGGGGGGUGGGGUUUGUAAAUAAAUUGACUUACGGGAUUGAGGGUAUUGUGUUCUUUGAAACUUUCUUCGAGAAAAGCAGAUUGUUCUUUAGAGAGCCUCAGCUUUUUUCUUGUUAAGCCAUUUUCUUCAUCAUCACUUGCUCUUGAACUUGCUCUGUCAUGACUUAUUUCAACAUCGAAUAAAUCUCUCUUGCUCCUUCCGUUUCUUAUACAAAAGUGAUCCAUUUGAAAAGACGACACCGUACUGUUCGGAGAUGACAGCGCCGUCGUCCCAUCAUCAGCCUCCUCCUGCGCCAUCGCCACCGGAAACCGGUUCACGUCCAGCCCUCCUCCUCCCGCACCAUCCAUCGGACCCGGUUCAGUACUCACCACUGAAACAAAGUUAUGCCAACAUAUAAAAGGGAAACCCUAAACAAAGUUUUGAUCAUAUGAUAAAAAGAAUUCUUUCAAUUUUCCUCGGCAACCAAAACAAGAUCAUAAAGAAAACAAAAGAACAGAACUACGGCAAGUGGGUAUUAAAGCUACCGUUGAGCCAUGGAAACCGAAGCUGAGAAGAAGGCUGAUGAUGAUGAGCUCGGGGAACUGGAGAGAAAGGAAGAAGAUCGAGCUGAAUGGGAGGGGGGUGAUGAUCGGAAGCACUUUUCUCUUCUGAUUUCCCAUUAAAGCUGCUCCCGUUCAAGCCCAUGCAAAACCCUAGAUCUUUGCUUGAUAAUUUUGACGAAAACGGCUUUGAGGUGUCGCCUAAGCUCAAAGCUAGCUCCAUUCUUUUUGGUCACAAGAAGAGAAGAAAAAGAAAAACGAAUGGUGUUUGUCGAUGAAGAUGGAAAAAAAAAACCUGAGGCUUUAAAAAUGAAAGCUAUCGCUUGUGCAAAUCUUUUAAUUUAUAAAAUCAAAGAUAGAUAAUUAUAACCAUCACACGUAUUUUUAAUUUAAUUCUGCCCUUGUGCCAGUAAAAGAUUGACCGACAAAUCUAGGUUGACAAACGCACGUGAAUGAAUAUAAAUAUACACUCGUUCAUACACGAGAGAGAUAGAGAGAAGUGCUUUUGCCUUUUGUACCAGUACUCUUGAUUUAAAGUGUUUUAUGCAGAAGAAGUGCUUUUCUUGCCCUCUAUAAGUCAAAAUAAUUCAAAUUUCUAUUUUGUUAUUGUAGCAAGUAACUUGUUAUUUUUUUAUUCAGUAUGUGAUUAUUACUUCUCAAUGUUACUAAAUAAUUAUGCUCACCAAACAGGGCCACGUCAUAAUCAUCAUUAUUGUCAUAAUAUGACCAUAAAUAAUUGAUAAUGAUGAGUUAACUCAUCCGACGACUCAGAUCAACUGGGUAAGGUGAUGAAGUUAUUGAAUUUUCUUAAUCACACUGUUUUAUUAUAAUGAUCAUCAUCAUUUGACAAAGUGAUUUACCAAACACAAUUACUAAUUAGCUUCAAGUUCUGUGUCUGUGAAGACAUAUUGAGCCAGAGUGCUUUUAUUUUCAUUUUAUUUAAUUAAUUUUGUGCAGUUUCCGAGUAAUUUGGUCGUAAUUUUCAAGUGACGCAAUUGAAAAGAAAUGACUCUGCUGGCUUAUUUGGAAAGAACUCGGAACGCUGACUCACCAACCAAAACACAACAGUGCAGUGCAGUGCUGUCUUAAUAGAUAAUUUUGCAAAGUCGCGAAAUCGUAUUUGUAAAAGUAAUUAAAUAAAUAAAAACUUGUCAAAUUCGCACCAAGCGUGAUGUGUGAACAGGGAAAAACAUUGGAAAGGGGAAGAAAGAAACAGUACUUAGAUUAUUAUUAGCAAACGAGAUUUGACCAACAAUUCCUCCUCUUAUCCUUUGUUAUGUUUAAUUAGGCAGAGAGACAAAGAGACCAUCUUUUUACUAUUCCAAGAAAAGGUCUCUGCAUUUGUAUUAGUUUAAAGAGUCAAUGUUCUUUCGUGUCUUUUUUGAGCAUGAGUUAAAGCAAAUUUUUAUAGUAUGGGAAAAGCUACGGGUAUCCGAUGAGUCAAAGGCUAGGUCAACCUUUGGUGGUGGUGGAGGUAGCGGUGGUGGCUGGUGGUCAGAGCGAGUGAGUGUACCAAACAAAUAUCAAAUAGACUUUUGUUACGUAGCAGCUGUUGGAUGAAAAUUUAACGAUUGUGAAAAUUUAAAAUAAUAAAAUUAUAUUAUUUUCACAACUGUUGAAUUUUCAUUCAACGGUCGCUACAUAAUCAUAUAUGUUACAGACAUGUUAUCUUACUUUAGUCUGUUUGUCUGUUACGCAUUUUUUAAGUCUUGUACAUGAAUUUAUUAAUAUAUAAUUCGAGAUUGGUGAUAAAAGAUAUGAAAUCUUAAAAGAAAAAACUUGCCGGGGGUCAUAACUUAUGCCAACCACCACAUAUCCAUUCGAUGGAGCCGUGCCCUAAUAAUUAAAAUUUGGAAGUACGAUGAAAAUUAGAAAUGGGUAUUUAAUAAGUUGAAGAUUAUGUUAAGAUUUAUGGAGCCAAGAGUGCCGGUUAAAUAAUCCUGUGAGAAUUGACAAAAUCUUAUAUUAGAUUAGAUGGAUGGGUGGAUGUACAAAUAACUUGAUUUGCAUAUCUCACCGAGAUUGUCUAUUUCAAUUUGAGAUUUAAAGAAAAAUAAACCUUAAAAAUUGGUAACAAAAAAUGGGGAAAAUCGUACCACACAUGGAUUGCAUGGGUCUAAUGAUCAAGGGGGCAUCCAAUGAAUGGGAGCCUAGGUUUUGAGAUAAAUUGGUGGUGUUGGUGGUGGUGGUCCUUGCGCGUGAGAUGAGUUAAUUUAUUAAAUGGAUUAUUAUUUUCUUUUAUUUUUCGAGUGGAGAAAAAAAAAAAAAAAGGACAUCUAGAGGUUGUGAGCAGGUCAGAUUUGUCAUGCUUUUGGGAUCAUUGCAAUAAUUGAAGUCAUGCAGGCUUUAAUGAUAAGUUGGAAAGAGAUCUGCGUGAAUUAUUAUUGGGUGGGACCAUUUUUCAACCAUGGGAUAAUUAAUGAAGUCACCCAUAAUAAUUAAAAUAGCCGCACCAACUACUUCAUCGACACUGCUUAAGUUCCAUAAACCCUAAUCUACUUUUCAUUAAUACAAAUAUCUAAUUACCUUGGGCAUUGGAUAGUUUUAUGGCCAAAAAAAAUUGUGUUUUGUCUCUAUUUGGAUAUCAUUCUUGAUGGCUAUACAUGUAUAUUAUACACAAUGUAAACUAUUGGCAUUAGAAUACCUAGUAUAUACCAUUAAUUAUUUGUUCAACAUUUUAAAAUAUGUUAUACAUAUUUGUUGCUUGAUAUACAGUAUAUACGUACCGUAUUAAAAGAAUAAUUAUUAUAUUAAUUAGUCGUGCUCUCAUUUUAAAAAAAAAAUUGAUACCCACAUCCAAAUCUCAACCAAUAUAUUGCCGAAUUGAAAUAAAAGUUCUCCUAGCUAUUUGAUUAGAACGUGAUGGAUCCCAAUUAGUCAAGGAGUCAAUCAUUUCGUGGAAAAUAAAUUAUUAAAAAUAAAAUUCCUAAGUGUGAGAAACCAUGCAUCUUCUCCCUUUCCUCCAUGAUUUGAGGGGCUUUCAAAUUUGGUUCCCCUUAACCUUAAAAGAGGGCAUAAUUUGAGGGUGGGGGGCGAAAGUGAGAAAAUCCUAGUUUUGUCUAAAUCAAUUAACAUGUGAUUAAAAUUCUCUUGCCAUAUUGGCUUAUACAUCCUAGUUACCAAAUUAGAUUUUAAAUUAACUCUUAACAUUCGAUUUAAUAAAUGCCACGUAUCAAUCCAUCUUAAAACAAAUAAAUAUUGAUUAAUUUAUGAGAGGAUUUGAAUCCGUUACCAACCCUUUAGUCCACAUAUUACCCUUACCGGGAGGUGAAAAAAAAUCUAACUUAAAUUAGAUAGAUGUUACUUCAGAAUAAAUUGGGUCACGGUCGCAUUCAUUAGGGAGGUUUGAAAAACCAAAUAUUAAUUAAUUAUUUAUGUUUUUGCAAAUGCAGUCAAUAUCAUCAAAACAAGAGCUAAAGCCUGAAGGGGAAGGGGAGCUAGAGUCACGUGAGAGACGCGUGGAAGAGUAAUGAUGGUUUAUGAGAAUGGGCUCAUCACAGAGUCAGAGAAAUGACGUGAUAUGAAAUAAUGAUUAUUAUACAAUAAAAAUUAAAAUAAAAAUGUAAAAGAAUUGGUGAUGGGAUUGGGUGGUGCGAGGAGGAAGAAGAAGAUCCAAUGAUGAUGAUGAUGAAACAGGGAAGGUGGUGGGGUUAAAAUUGAGACACUGUGCAUUAUACUAAGGAGACAAUCUGUUCAGCAGCAAUCAUUUGUACGUGGGAUAAUAAUAUUAGGGCCUAUUAUUAUUAUUGUUAUUGUUGUAAUAAUUUAAUAAUAAGAAUAGUAAUUAUUGUUAUUAUUAUUAUCACUAUAAUUAUGGUUAAUUAAUUGGAACCCUAGAGAGAGAGAGAUAGGGGGGGGUCCAUGGAGGUAGCCCCGAACUCAAAUUAUUAUGAGCUGAUUGAAUGGCUGUGUGUAUGGUAUCAGUGAGUCUCAUUCAUUCUUUUUCUUUGUAUGGUUUUUGUCCUCAUUUUUUCUGUUUGUUUGCCCUCCAAAUAUUAUUAGCUUUGCAAUAAUUCGGGAUAGAAUACGUACAGCAUUUUGUUGCUGCCGUUACAAUUUACAACUCCAUCGUGUACCUUUUUUUUUUAAAAAAAAAAAAAAUCAGACAUAAAAGAAAAAGAAGGCCAUAACAUUCGGCUCUGUAAAUUUCGAUAAAAUCAAAACGACAUAGUUUUUAUUUUUAAAAUUGUUAUCGAGGAACCCCUAUAGUUGUUACUUAUUACAUUUUGUUAAUAUAUAUAGAUAAAUUUUAAGAUAUUGGUAGAUUUGUAAUAUAAUAUUAAAAAAUAAAAAGUAAUGACAGUUAAAUUAUAAGUAUUAAUACAGCUGCAAAACUCUUUUAUAUAAACUGAUGUAGCGUCACAUGAGUCUUGAAUAAAGACAUUAUUUAAGCGGGUGACCAAUAUAAUGUGAUUUUAUUAUUUUAUAUUUUCAUUUAACAAAUUAUAUAAUGUCAUAUUAAUUUGAAUAAAAUUAAAAUAUUAAUGUUAUGUUAAGUUUUUCAACUAAAUCUAAUAACUUGAAUUCAUGUGAAAAAAAAAAAAAGAAGACGACUGUCUGCUUGUGAUUCUACUAAAACAUUAUUGCAUUUGUAGUAUAAUAUUAAAAAACAAUUUUUACAUGUACUAAUAGUUAAAUUAUUAAUUUCAUUAAUGAGUUCUUAACUAAAUCCAACCGCCUCCGUACUUGUGAUUUUACUAAAACUCAGGGACCUCAAUGUUACUACCCUCUACCCCGUAAAUUUGGUAAAUGAAAUUGAAACUAGACAGUAAUAAAUCAUCUUACCAUCCCCACUCUCGACAAGAUAUGAGAAAGAGCCUGCAAAAGAUUUGGGUCUGCGGGUAAAAGAAGAAAAAGAUGGAGCAGAGAAGUUGUCAGAGACGAAAUGGGACAAUGAGCAUGCAGUGGCCAAAAAGGAGGAGAUGAAGGGACGACAGUCAAUUUUUGUAAUGAUGAAUUUUCUCUGGGGACUGGGGCUCCUUUUGUCAGCUCUGCCAUUUGUGUGAAUUUCCUUCUGUAUACUGCAUGUGUGUGGGGUUUGUGCCCUUGUAUAUAUCUCCUUCCCAUUUUUUGCUAUACCCAUUCCUUUCUAUGCUCUUCUAUUAAUUCCCGCAUUAAUUAAUAAUUACCCUUUUUUGCUUUCUCCUCCUCCCUUUCAAGUUUGAUUUUGUACUUUCAAAUCAUUACAUAUAUAAGCUAGAAUUUCAUUUAUAUAAAUAAAAAAAAGUAAAAUUUCAUUGGACUAACUAAAGAUAAGUUAGUUGAUUAUCUUACAAGAAAUUAAGAGUUUCAUUGUUUCUAGAUGUGCUAUUCAAUAUGAUGGUGCUCAAAUUAAAGGUUAAAAAAAAAAACGACUUAAGAAAGAAAUAAGAUACAAUGACUUUGGUAAUUUGAUGCUUUUUCUACACGUAUUUUUUAAAUUCAAAAUUGUGAAUAUUUGCGAUAGUUCUAUGGACUUUCUAAAUUAAAAAAAUAUUAAUAAUAUUAUCACAUCUUUUUUUCUUUUUUACUCUUUGGGUUCAAGUUAUAAGUAUGGUUGGCAAUCAUACAGAACAUACUUAUUGUGAUUUGCCAAUCUCAAUCCGUCUUGAAAGUAAAGUAAGGGGAAAAUCCCUCUUGAGUGUCAUCUCAAACAUUAAAUUGGGACAAUCUUGUCCUAAAUUUCAAUUGGGAUCCUCAAAUGUUCGGAAUGACGUGAGUUUGCUAUAUAUGCUAUAAAUUCUAUCAUAAACGACAGGUCAUACGCCUAUAAUCGAUAUGUUAGAUCUGUACUUAUCAUACACUUUUGAAAAAUUAGAUUUUAGAGAAUUUAAAAUUUUCAAAUGUCUCGAAUCUUAUCCUUGAUAGUGAACCAGGACAAAAUUAAGUUCUAAAUCUAAAUCCAAAUAGUAAAUCAGAAUAAAUUUUUGUACCAAAUCCAAAGUGGGGGUUGGAGAAUUCUACCAACCUUAACUUUAAGAUGUGAUAUUACAUCUAUCUUAAUUAAGAUGUGAUAUUACAUCUAUCUUAAUUCAAAAAAAAAAAAGGAAAACUAACUAAUUGCAUGUUAUUACUAUUUUCCCUUCUUUUCCCCCUCUCUUUCUCUCUAAAGUUACCAGUCUCGCUAUACAAAUUAAUGAAGAAUGAAUAUUUCUGUACAUCAGAAUACUCUCCUGAUUAUAAGAUCGACCUUUUAUUGCUUUCAUAAAUUCGGAUUCUCUAUUCUAUUAUAGGCUCCCAUGAUUUAAUUUGAUAUCGCAAACAAAUACUUUUGGUCAUUAGUAAUUUUUUUUUUUGAAGCAAAUAUUAGUGGGGCAGGGCUAAUUCUGGCUUUACCCUUGAAUACUAAUAACAUAGGAAACAAAAAAAGGUUUUGGAUGUAUUGCUUGUGAUACACUCAUAUAAUAAUAUUUUCAAUGUUUGCAUUUGAUUAAGUUUGUCAUGAUUGGUUGUCAUAACUACAGAUGUAUUUAUAAAGAUAUGAUUUUGUUGAGUGAAAAUAUAUGGCUGGAUUUUUAUUAUAUUUUAUUUUGAACACACAGAGUAGCUGGAUAUUAAUUAAUUACUGUAUACGGAUUAUUGGUUGAAAGCCAUUAAUUAAGUCAUAAUUUUUUAAAUGAUGAGUGAAAAUAAUGAAAAUAAAAAAUUAUUAGUCAUUAUAUUGCUUGCUGGUGGCACAUAUAUGCAUAAAACAUAAUGAUAGUGUUAUACAGUUAUUAAUUAUACAACAAGGCUAUAAUAAAAAAUCAUGUUAAGCACUUCCAAACAAAUGAGCUAGCUAGUUGUGUACGUAAUUAUAAUUCUCUCCAUCGCCAAAUAAAAUCAUGACACACACACACACACUCGGGAAAAAUAACAAAUUUCGACGGAUGUGAAACUUUAGACUAUUAGCCCUUAAUCACAAAGAAUAAUCAAAAUUAAAGGAAGUUUAAUUGGGCAACGGUUUCAUGCAUAUCAGCCACAUGAUUGCAUAUAUAUAUAUAUAUAUAUAUAUACUCUCUCUCUCUCUCUCGCUCUAAAGUCUAAACUACUAACUAAACCUAGGUUAAAAGUAAAAAAGCAAUAAUUUGUUCAACAAAUAAUUGAUUUUGUUAUGAUUACCAAGAUAAGAAAAUUUGGCAUGCAACUUAAAAAAUAGAAGCAUCGAUCUUGUUCCUUUUGCCAAACACAAUCAUUAAACAUUUGCCAUGCUUUCUUUCAUUAUCAUAAUCAUUACCGUUAUCACCAUUAUCAUAAUCAUUAUCAUUAUGCACUGUCGCAUUUUCUCAUCCUGGGAUGCUGCGUUUUGCUGGGAAAGUAAGGGACAAGAAACCCUAUAAAAAUUCCAUUAAUAUUUACUGUCUAUGUGGCCAUCCUAAAGAUGAGCUAGCUACCUAGGGUUUCAAUAAUUGUAAACGGCUGCUGCCUCAUUAGAAAAGAUACUUUUCAAACGGCUUAUUUAUCGUCUUAUUAUAUUAUGUAUACGAAACUAUUCAAAGAUUGAGAACGGACCAGCAGGUUGAAAGUUUCAAACUUGGGAUUUGUUAGAAUAAUACUAAUUAGGAAUUUGUUUUUAUGCUGAUGAUCUUCAAGUGUUUUGACUAUUCUAUAAUUAUGCUGACAUUUUUUUCCGCUGUAGUCGUUUCUUCAUGGGGAAGUUCUCUUUGAAUCGUUCAAUCAAAGCAAUCAACAUUCACAAUUCUUAAGCUCAUUCGUGAGCUGUCCCAUAACAGAGCUUUAUAUAAGUAGAGUUGCGAUAACUUUCUUUUUUUUUGAUUUUUUAUUAUUAUUAAAGGGGGCUCUUCAGAGAGAGCUAGACAUGAACAAAACGGGGUUGAGUAACCCCAAACAUGUCUUGCAAAAUAAUAAAAUAAAUACCCACAUGUGGGUUAGGGAACGAGUGCGAACCAACAGAAAUUGAAUGAGCCAUAUUAGUCAUGAAGUCCGCAGCUGAAUUCGCUUUACGAUAGAUGUGUGUGAUUGAUCUCCAUCUUUGUUUGAUUGAUCUCACUAUUACGCCAUGGACAUAUGACCCUCUGGGUAUUUGCUUCGGAGCUGAAAUUUCGUGUUAGGUUCCAAAGCAUUUAAUUAUAUUAAUAAUCAAAGUCAUCAAUUCGUCAAUUUUUUACUAGUCCAUGUUGGUCUCAAUAGAUUAUGCACAAAUCUUGUGAAAUUUUAUAGCACAUGCAAGAAUUAUAAGAGGUCAAAAGGGCAAGUCCAUAAGAAAGAUAUUGAGGCAUAAUCAUUCAAAGUAAAACGAGAUUUAAAUGUUUGAAUUAUUGUUGAGUCAUAUGUUUAGACUUUGGACUUAAAAAUAAACUACCUUUGAAUUUCUUUAUACAGUCUUUUUUAUUCUUGAAUAAGCAACAAUGUACCUAACGGCAGCAGGGGACCCGAUGGCUAAUAAUUAUUUUCUAUUUGAUCAUACUGGGGGCUUGAUCAUAGGCCCCGAUUUUAGUCUUGCUGGCUUGCAUGCUUCUGGUUCAAUAUCACAACCAAUUUUGUAGAAUUUUGGUUUUGGUAGGGAAAAUUAAGAGAAGUUGAAAAAGAUGAAAAUGGAAAAGAGAAGUGUCGGGUCAAUUACCGGAAGUAAUAAGGACUUUUGACCAUUGAAUUUGAACAAUCAAUGGCAUACACAAGCGAUUAAUUAAUAAAUGAUGGCUUCAAAUUUACUCUCCCGUGUGCACAAUCAUAGCCUAUGUUUCAGCCAAUCAUUAUGUUUUUCAUUUUUUUUUUCCCGGGGCCAAGGCUUGUGUCCAUCAUCAUAUUAUCUUACUUAUCAUGAUCACAUCAACAUCAUCAUCGUGUUCCAUCAACAAUCUCAUUUCAUUAUAUUUGAUUAACACUUAAUUGCCACUGCAAUGGUUGGAACAGUAAUUAAACGUUUUGUUUUAAUCGUUCGUAUUAGACUUAAAAACAUCAAAAUUCUUAACAAAAAAAAAAGAAUCACUAAGAAUAAUGGAAUAUGUUUGGAAACAAUUACUGUCGCACUGUCACGCUUCGAAUUAACAUGAUUAGGCGUACGCGAUAAGAGAUUAUACAUCAAUAAAUAAUUGAUUAAUCUUGUAAUUAUAUAAUGCUUUAAUCUAUUUAAUUUUAUAAACUCACACCCUCAUCAUAAACUGUUUGUACGCUUUUUAUACGUAUGGAAUUAUUUAACUGGCAAAUAAAAACUUGUUUCUUUAACCAAUUGUUAGAUUCAUUAAUCCUUAUUGCAAAACAAAAAAAACACGACACUCUGAUUAAUGGUUUCAACAGUCAAAUGAUGAAGAUUAGAAAAAAAAUUAUAUAUAUAAAAAAAAAAGAGUGGAGCUAUUAGCACCCUUAAAAAAAUUAUUGUAAAACCUCUAUAUCUUAAAUUUACAUUUUAAACUUUAAUUGAAUUGACAUUUCAUCUCUCUUCCUCUAACCCCACUUGAGUUUUUAUUUUUUUAUAAAAAAAAAAACAAACAAUUUGUUGUUAUGGUGAAAAGAUUUUUAUUCAUUUAUGUUUUUAUCCUUAAAUUAGUGGUUUUCUCGGACUAAAUUUUUUACUGAAUUAGUUUAAAAUUAUGGAAGGCUUGAUUUCUUCUACAGUUAUAGCGAAUUGUUCUCCUGAGUGUGGAAUUGUCACAUUCAGAAUGUAAAAUGAAUUGGAUUAGUAUCUAUCAAUCUUUUUUUUAAACGAGAAAGCAUUUCUUUUGUUCCUUUUUUUUUUUCUCUCUCAUACCGAUGCCACUAAGAAAUUUUAAACGAGAAAGCAUUUCUUUUGUUCCUUUUUUUUUUUUCUCUCUCAUACCGAUGCCACUAAGAAAGAAGGAUACAAGGACAUUUGUGGAACUAAAAUGGGUGUUAUUGGCAUAUAGAAUUUAAUUAAUAUUUUAGUGGGUGUAUUUAAAAGAGGGUUAUCCGAGGGUAACAGGUGGGGUGCCCAUGGCGCCACUCUAAACGAAAACUCAUGUCUCAUGCUGCUGUGUUUGGGUCCUGGGCUGGGCUAGUCCAAACAGUUGGGUUUUGGGCUGGGCAAGAUUGAAGAUUGAACAUUUGAAUUUUCCGUUUGGGUAAACAGUCCGGUUCAGCCAGUUCGACCAAUAUCGUUAUUACACAAAAUGUGGACGGUAGUGCUAAUUGUCUGAGAGAGAAUUUUUCAAAAACAUGUUUAAGAUGAUGAAAAUUUGUAGUAUAUAUACAUGAUUAAACUCGUAUUUGUUGGAAAAAAAAUAAAAAUCUAAACAAAUCAUAGGUCCUGUUUGGAAUUGAGGUGCUGUAGCUGUACUGUGGAAACUACAGCUGCUGUGGAAAAAAAAAACUGUAAGUAUGAAAUAAAAGUUAAUAAUUUAUAGGCAAUAUAAAAUUUAAAUAAAAUUAUUAAAGAUAUAAUAUAUUUUUCACGAUACAAGUGAAAAAUUAUUUCAACAUAAAUUUCAAACUACAGCAGUUAGUAUUUACCAAACACUUUAGUGCUGUAGUUUUUAAGCCACAGCCACCCAACUUCAAUCACAAACGCACCCAUAAACUACCAACUAAUUUAACAAUUUGAUGAUUUCUUUUUAUGAUUUACAUAAUAGAGUAGUCAUAAUAUUUAAAAGAAAUUUAAUUAGAAAAUAUAUUGAAGAAUUUCUAUCUUUUUAUAGCUAAUUGACUUAUUUUAUUUCAGAAAAAUAGUCAGAGAGACUAGUGGUGUUCAAUUAGACAAACAAAGGGAGAUAAAGAUAAAUAUACAAACAUAGACACCGGUAACAGAAAAAAAUGGGGAAGUUGAAAAACUUUUAAUUAAAAAAUUACAUUUGCACGAGUUGCACUGAGGAUAUUGGACUUUAUUAAAAUUUAAGAUGAAUUGAUAAUAAUGUGAAUAUAUUUUUAUAUCAUUGUAAAUUAUUUGAUAACGUUGUAAAAGUAUAUUCACGUCAUUAUGAACUUAUUCCGAAUUUUAAUUCCGGAUUAUAAAUCUGAAUUGGAAAAUUUUCUUAUAAAAUAGAUACUUCAAUGAGCAACCGGAGCAUUUUUGUUGGAGGCAAUAAAUUUACGGGCAAGACUAAUCAUCCAUUAGCCUUUAAAAUCACCCAUAUUCAUGUUCUUAUUUAUUUAUUAUUAUUAUUUUUUAAUUCGGGUUAAAUCCCAACUAAAAGUUCAGCUGCUAAGCAUAAGAUUGAAUGUGUAACACAAAAUUCACAAAAGGUUGAAAAAAAUUAAUUUAAAUUUAAAAAUAUUUUCUGUGUAUAUAUACAAGCAAUAGGAUAUUGCAAGCAGACUGUACUAUAAUUGAGAGAUUCUAUUCUGCUAAAGAAUAGUUACUUCGUCAAACUGAGUGUAAAAAUUUACUAAAUAUUUUAAACGUAGGAAUUGAAUGAAAUCAAUGAAUUGUUAUGCAAAACAUAAUAUUAUGGAAGUCAUAAGCUCAUUUUGCUAUGACAUAACAAUGACAAACCAUUCAAGAGAGAUAAAAGAGAUUAUUGUAUCUCCUCUCGUGAACAUUACCAAGGGAAUUAUCCAAAACAAACUGUGUUUAAGAUUUAGAUUGUGGAGUUGUGUUUUCUGAAGCUCUAAUUUGUUGUAUGGACAUCAUUGAUUGGCCAUCAAAUUGUACACAUUUUCUAAAGACAUACAUGCCUAGCACUCUUUUAUCAAAUUUGAAACAUACAAUAUGACAAUGUCCUCAGAAAAUAGUCAAAUAUACCAUUAUCAUUCCAUAGCCUGAUCAUAACUCCAAGUGGGUGUAAUUGGUUAUCCUCUUUUAGAAUUGAUAGAGAAAGAGAUUUGCUUUAUGAGAAACACAAGACCUCUUGACGUUUGAUAUCACUAGAACAAACUCAGAACCAAGGUAAUCAAUACAGAGCAACAAAUAACACAAACUAUUAACUAAUCCCCUGCCAAGUCAGAGUAAUCAAUAUAAACUGACAAGAUCCAAAGUUAAAUGAAAAUGAUUCAUAAAACAUGGUGGAAAUAAUUAAUUAAAAAAGAUUUUACUCGAACAUAUAAAACCUGCAAGGUUAUGUACAAUGGUGAGCGGUAUUUGACCUCCUUGCUCCACGGCAGGUUUGAUUUCCCAUACAACUUGAAAGAUAAAAGCACAGACCUUGAAUAAAGGAUAAUAGUAUUCCAAAC
rnacentral:lncRNA from 1 species